GUCUGGCUCUGUCACCCAGGCUGGAGUGCAGUGGCGCGAACUCCACUCACUGCAACGUAUGCCUCCUGGGUUCAAGCAAUUUUCCUGCCUCGGCCUCCUGAGCAACUAAGAUAACAGGCAUGUGCCACCACACCCA